rnacentral:misc_RNA from 1 species
CACUAGCCCCGAUUGUAGCAAUUGUUUGAGCUCGUUGUAAAGCUUGGAAAAGCCGAGGCUACAACAGCGAGUGCGGAAAGCGGGAAUAGCU